AUAAAUUGAGAGUUUGAUCCUGGCUCAGGACGAACGCUGGCGGCGUGCCUAAUACAUGCAAGUCGAACGAGAAUUUCUUACACCGAGUGCUUGCACUCACCGUAAGAAAUUCGAGUGGCGGACGGGUGAGUAACACGUGGGUAACCUGCCUAAAAGAAGGGGAUAACAUUUGGAAACAAAUGCUAAUACCGUCUAACCAUGAUUCCCGCAUGGUCCUUAUGUCAAAGUUGGUUUUGCUAUCGCUUCUGGAUGGUCCCGCGGCGUACUAACUGGUUGUUAGGGUAACGUCCUACCCAGGUGAUGAUACGUAUCCGAGUGUAGAGUCUGGCCGGGCACGACGGGCGUGAGAAAAGGCACCAACUCAUAACCGAGGGAUCAGUAGCGA
rnacentral:rRNA from 2 species